UGCUCUUCAGAUCUGGUACCUACUGCUAUAUCACCUAGCAUGAAAUUCCGGGAUUGUCGGAACAAUGAAGGAAGCUGUGCACAGAGGGCAUUGAAGGUAGGUUGACUUUAAAAUUGGCAAUGUAAAAGUUUCGGGUGGGAUGUACACAUGGACCUUACUUACCUAGUGAAUAAAUAGCAAUGAGGCUCAAUUGUGCCUGACCUUUUGGGAAACCUAAGUGUGGUGUUUUAAAAUCCCCUACAGCAGAUGCACACCCAGCUUCUAAGGAAAAUAAAGUCUGCAAAGGUUUCUGGCAAGCAUGGAGAUUCUGGUUUGCAAGAGGCUCAUCUGUCAUUGUUUGGAUGGGUGACAGGUUGAAUUAAGCUGCAAUAGUAACUCAUACCUGUAAUACCAAUACUUGCAGUGAGAUUGUAAAAGUACAAGGUUGAAAACAGUGCUCAUGGAAGUAUGUAUAAUUCAUGUUCAGGCAAGUCAAGGAAACUAAAUACUUUGUGGCUCUUUUUAUCCAGUUGUGCUCCUGUGAAACUGAACUUUGUAAGUAGCAGAAGACACUGAAAAUGUUACCAGCCAAGAGAGGUUUCUCUUCACGGUAAGAUAUAAUUGCGGUAUGAUAAAGAUGGAGCUCUUAGUAAAUUAAAUCUGAGCGCAUAAAAGAACACUGUCCAUAAUCUUGUUAGAGUACUAGAUUGACCACUUAACCAUUAACAUAUUGCAAACUUAUCAAUGGCUAAGUAAGUUCUGAGGUGGCUACCAGCUGAAAACUUAGUACAUGUGUAUAAGCCAUCAUUGGCUGGUAGCUACCCAAGUAUGCACCCUGGCCUUCAUGGUGAUACAAAGAAAAACAAUCUUCAUGUUGAAGGAUUGAUGUUCAGGUGCAUUCAACAGCUAAGGCAUACUGUGCUGGCUUCCCAGACCAGAAAAGAUGUUCAUGCAAGUGACAAUACAACUCACUUCAGAGCCUUUUUAUUGUACACAGUAUACAUUUGAAGUUGAUCCGAAGGAGUAGUUCUCUCUGGGUUUUCUAUGUUCAAGGUUGCUCAGUUGCUGUUACUGCUCUCAAUUUUUCUCUCAGGAUCAAGGUGGGUGCUUUCAUAUAAAAUCUUAUUUUUAAUUCCUUCUCUGGCAAUUCUUUCCUGGAUUCUUUGCUUAGCAAAAUUAUACCUACAGUGGAACCUUGUAAGAAAGAAGAUGAGUUAAUUUCUAGUUUCUACAUGACUACCCUAAGGGAUUUUUAAUUAAUCCCAUACAAAUUUCCAAAAUGGCUACCUGUCAGACUAUAAAUGCUUUAAGUUUUUUGUCACCUUAGAUUAAUUAUCUGUUGGGACAUGAAUAUCUCUGGGUUGGGCUCCAUGAAGAUAGUGGGUGUUUGUGAAUUGCCAUAGCAUAGGGUAUAUUUUGAUCUUAAAUUUUUUCUUAGCUGAACCUUAAUGGCUCACACCUUUAAUCCCAGCAACACUAAGUGGGGGAGGAGCCUGGUCUACAUAAUGAUGGUCAGCCAGGACCACAGAGGAAAUUACCCCAUCCCAAAGUGUCGGUGAUGCUGCACACCUUUAAUCCUAGCAUUUGGGGUGGGGAGCAGAUCUGAGUUUAAGACUAACCUAGUUCUAGGAGAGCAUGGAUACAGUAAACCUUGGAACAAACAGCAAACGUACCAGCAUCCUAAAGUCACCAGGAUAAAUCCUCCUACUCCAACAUCACAUGAUCUUCUAAUUCUACCUGUCAAGAACAAGCGUGGUCAGUGAUCAUGCUCUAUGUAGACAAUGUUUCAUCACAAAUAAUAUUCAGGAGAAGUACUCACUGGUCACCAAGAAAUGUCCAAGUCCAGCCACAACAGAUCCUAAUGAGCCAUAUAGUAUAGAUUCUCGAGCACAGGGAGUGUUCUCAACAUCUAAAAUUCCUAGGAGCUUAAAGGGCUAGGAAGAAAAUGAAAAAGAGUUGAUAUGUUUGAACAUAGUGCUACUUUGGAAGAAGAAAUUAUUUCUGAGGUUGCACUUUUGUAUUUGACCUCUAGUCAAAUAAAACUAGUUUUAUAUUCUAUAUUUUCCAAGGAACUAUCUGUUCACACUGGCUAUGGGAUUGGGAUCAGACUUAGCCAGGCAGCUUGCAGUAAAAAGGCUGGUGUGAAUUGAAAAUUGGUCUGAGCUCCAAGAUUAAAACACUCAAGCAAAUUGCAGCCUGUGUGAAAAUUAUAGCAUGUGUGAAAAGAAGCUACCCUGUAUUGGAUCCCAAAAGCAUGUCUGGAUAAAAUGAAGGUCGUCUUCAGUGCCAUUCAAUGCAGCUAGAACAUUGCAUAAGAAGUGGCACCUAGAUGGAAGUGAUGAGGGUGGGGAAAAGAACAAAGUAAAGGCGAUUCAGACCCUUUAAAGAUGGGGGAGAGCUGAACGUACAUCACCGUGUCUUAUUACUCCUUUGGCUCAAGGAUCUGCUUGAAGAUAAAAUGUGACUUGAUUCUCAUUAAAAGUAAAGUUUUGCUUUCUCA